rnacentral:rRNA from 1 species
AGGACGAACGCUGGCGGCGUGCUUAACACAUGCAAGUCGAGCGGUAAGGCUCCUUCGGGAGUACACGAGCGGCGAACGGGUGAGUAACACGUGAGCAAUCUGCCCUUCACUUCGGGAUAACUCCGGGAAACCGGUGCUAAUACCGAAUACGACCACUUCAGGCAUCUGAUGGUGGUGGAAAGUUCCGGCGGUGAAGGAUGAGCUCGCGGCCUAUCAGCUUGUUGGUGAGGUAACGGCCCACCAAGGCAACGACGGGUAGCCGGCCUGAGAGGGUGACCGGCCACACUGGGACUGAGACACGGCCCAGACUCCUACGGGAGGCAGCAGUGGGGGAAUAUUGGACAAUGGGCGAAAGCCUGAUCCAGCAACGCCGCGUGAGGGAUGACGGCCUUCGGUUGUAACCUCUUUCAGUAGGGACGAAGCGCGAAGUGACGGUACUACGAGAAGAAGCACCGGCCAACUACGUGCCAGCAGCCGC